UUUCUUAGCAUUGUGGAUUUGGAGGGCAGACAUGGCAGCAACUAGUCCAAUCUUUUCCUUCCCUUCACCUCAUCCCCAAUACUCAGGAUUUUAAAUACUGUGUGUCUCGGUGCCUAUAUGAAUCGCUCAGACAAUAAAAUGUUUAUAGUUGAGCUCCACUCAGUGAAGUGUGUAUCUGUUAGGAAAAAAGAUUGCUAGUUGGAGCUGGAAAUUUAUAACAGAUACCCACAGGAAGGCAUGCUGGUGCAAAUCACCCUAGGGCAUAGAGCUCUUCAUAUUGAGUGACUCCAGGGAGCCAUUUAGAAUGAUCAGGACUCAAAGACAAUACCAAAUUUAUAGAGAAAGACUUCAGAGAUUAUUUUGUACAUGAUAUUAAAGCCAAGGGUUAAUUUUUCUCCACAACCUCAUCCAGACAUCAGGGUCUAUCCAAAAAUACAAAAAAAGGAGAGGAAUUAUAGUGUUUAUUUACAAUGUCUUUUUAAAUUUAUUUGUUAUACACCCUUCAAGAGGAGAGCUAUAAACACAGAACAUAAAAUUGGAUAUAAUUUAAACGGUAGGAGUUAAUAGUGGGUUCCUUCUUUAUUUAAGCUUCUUAAUGUUCCUGAGCUUCCUUUUCCUAAUCUAUGAAAUGGAAUAAGGGUGCUUUCAGAUCCUUAGUUACAAAUGAAAUUAUAGAUAUUUAUGCUCUUUUCUGCAGUUUAGUUAUGUUUCUCACAUCACCCUUCUCCUCUAUGCCAUAUGCAUAUAUAGCACUUUUUAAAUGCAGAUGGCACAGUUUUUAGAGCUAUAGAAUGAAGGUAGUAUUUAUCUCAGAAUUUCUAUAGCUCUGAUUAUCUAAAUACACUAAUAGGAAAAUUAGGCUAAGAAAAAAACUGUAACUAAGCAAGAUAUUCUCAUAGUCACACUUCAUAUUGAAACUUCAGAAAAUAUAUUAACCAACCUACAAUUACUUGGGAAAAGGCAAACGGAAACUGGGUCUAAAAGAUUAUUUUUACAUAUUUUAGUCCUUUGCCAUGACAUUUGCUCAAGGUAAAUAUCUGAAAAUAGGAAGAUGCGCUAGAUUCAGCUUAUAAGCUACCACAGAUGCACAUUUCCCUUGUUUGCUGGUUGAGCUGCAUCGGGAGACUAUCAUCUGUGGGUCUCUGGCAAUUCUGCAAGUUUUGUGAGCAGAGGUACUGACCUCCUUGGUUCCAGAGACAGAGACAGUGCUGUCCUCCAGAGCAAAAGGCUGGUUUGCUUAAUGUCCAUUAUAAUAAAGAAUAUGUCUCUCUCUAGGACAAAGGUCAGCCAAGCUUACUGCUCAUUGUAGAAAUUUUGAUUUCCCUAAGCUUUGAAUUAUUCCCCUAAAAUACAACCUACUGUGUAAGUCUAACCUGACUCUCUUCGAGUCACCCUGAGGAAAAAUUAAGAAUCAGGAAAAUGUACAGAGGCUGGCACUCUGGUUAAUGUUACCACUGCCAGUUAUAAAGUCCCUUCUCUCUUGCCCAUCAGGCUCAUGUCUUUUGCCAAAAUCUGUGACAUGGAGGCAGGCUAACCAGUAACUCAGUGAAAUCUCAGACCUUCACAGUUCUUGAUAAGCAACAGCUAAUCCUUUUCCCUUGGUUCUAAAUCCAGGCUGAUAACCUCACCAUCAUAGACUAUUGAGCUCUUUGUAGUGCUGGCUAAGAGCUGGGGCUUUGUCAGCUCACUGACUGGACUGGAGCUAUAGAGGCAGCAACUUGGAGAGACCAGGUGACACAAUGCAGAAGUGCAGGAAAGUGAGUGCUCCCUGGGGUGAACUCUGCUGGAAGGGAGGGUGGGGUCAGGGAUGGAUCCUAUGAAAAACGCAUCUCUCUGCCUCCUCCUUGAGAUACUCCUCUGAGAUGCAAUCUUCUCUUAUCCCUUAGUUCCAGGGACCAAGGCACAGUGUCCUUCUUUGUAUAUGUUCCUCUUCCAUCCUCCCCUUGCCCCUUCCCCCUCAUUUCUGCUUCCCUGAGAUUAGACUCUUCAACAAAUAGCAACAAAUCAGAUUUUGCCACAGGUUUUGUUUUCUAGAAAACUUGGGUUAGGACACAAGUUUAGGGCACUUGUACCUCAAUCCAGAAUUUUUGCAAGUAAAGUGACUAUGAAAUGGAAUUUUUGCAAUUAAAGUAACUAUGAUACAAAAUUGUAUUAACAUAAGGCAACUAUAUUUGAAAAUUGGUUGGCUAUCCAUGUGAGUUCUUUGAACCUGACAAAUCUGGCAGAGGCCGGUCUACAUCUUAGGCUUCUCUCAGGGAGCAGGGCCAGUCAUCUUAAAGCUGUAUGUUCAUUUUCCUGCAAUUGAAAACGCUGUCAAGUAAUAUUCAUCGUUGCUAACACUCCGCAGCUUUAGAAAUCAAGACUUGACAUAGGACAUUACUAUGACUAUCAUUGUCAUUGUUUUCUUCAAUGACUGUGACCAAUAAGAUACAUAAAGUGUAUGAGGUCCUGAUUUAUUUAGAGGAAAUAUUCCAGGCAGGAUCUAUAUAGCAUGACUUUAGGACCAUAUUCAUAUUCUAUUUGACAUGAAUGAGGGUUGGGAAUUGAUGCCCAAGUUGCAGAACAUCAGAAGAGGGAAAAGAGGACCUGUAUAGAUCAGAGAUUUAAAAAGAUGGCCUUGAUGUUUGAUCAGUAGACAUGGGUUCAAAUGCUACUUUCAGUAUUUAUCAAAUGCUUUCAUGUGCUGUUAUGUGUUGAACUGUAUUCCUCCAUCAUCAAAAUUUACACGUAGGCAUUCUCUUAGUGCUUCAGAAUGUGACCUUAUUUGGAAAUAGGGUCAUUGCAGAUGUAAUUAGUUAUAUUAAGAUGAGGUCAUUAGGGUGGACCCUAAUCACUUAUGACUGUUGUCUUUAUAACAAGAGGACAUUUAACACAGAUAAGUACAUAGGGAGAAUGUCAUGUGAAGAUAAAGGCAGGGGUCAGGGUGAUGCUUCUACAAGCCAAAGAAUGUCAUGUUGCUAGAAAACCUAGGAGAGAGACAUAAACAGAUUCUUCCUCACAACCCUCAGAAGGAGCCAACUUGCCAACACCUUUUUGGCAAUGCUGGAUCCUUAACCCGUUGAGUGAGGCCAGGGAUCAAACCUGCGUCCUCGUGGAUCUUAAUCACAUUCAUUUCCACUGAGCCACAAUGGGAACUCCACCUGCCAAAGUCUUAAUCUCAGACUUUUAGCCUCAAGAAUUAUGAGGCAAUAUAUUUCCGGUGUUUGAGCCACUGCAUUUGUGAUAGUUUGUUACUGAAUCCUUAGAAAACUUAAACAUGUGCUCUGCACCGUGAUAAAAGGUAGACAUAUGGAAGUGAACAAAAUACAGACAUGAGAUCUGCUCUAAUGGAAUUUAUAAUCCAGUAUUAUAUAAAAACAAAUAUAAUACAACCAUAAAUUAUAAUAUAUUAGGAAAGAAACAAAGAGGUUUCAGUGAGAGAAAAUUGGUGGUGGGGGCCAGUGGUUGCCUUAGAGAGGAGCAUUAGGAAAGACUUCUCAGUCAAGAUGCAGCCUCUAAGCUGAGACCUUGCAUUCAGAGUCUUGGGGUUGGAAGGUUGAAGUGGGAGAGGGAGCACCCAUGAACGCUCAGAGACCAGUGAGAACUUAGAAUACUACACCAAGAACUAAAAAGCAAAACAUGUCUAUCCCAGUGAGUAAGGGAAGGAGAGCAGAAAAUAAAUUAAAAGUAUACUGAGGCCACAUCCUAUAGGUUAUCCACAUGGGAACCAUGUAGGGAGUUUAGACAAAGAAGGAUCCAUUGUUCUUGUAAAAGCCUCAUUCUGGCUUUUCUAUAGAGGACAGAUGGGGGAAUACAAGAAAGAAAGUGGGUAGAUCAGUUGAAACUCUAUGCCAGGAGUCUAAACGAGAAAUUAAGAUGGCCUUGGCUAAGGUGAAGGCAUGAGAGAUGGAGCAAAAUGGAUAGUAGAGAGAUUUAAUGUGAAGGCAGCAUUAAUAGAACUCACUAAUUUGGGGGGUAAAAGGGGUAGAGGAGAAGAAAAAAUCGAUAUGACUGCUGAUAUUGGCUUGAGCAGAAAAAUGGCCAAAUAGUGGAGACAUUUGCUGAGAAAGAGAAUGGAGGAAGGAACAAGUUUGCAUUAUUGUGCAUGAAAAAGGUUAAGAUGAGACAGAAGAUGAGAAUCAAGAAUUUAACAUUAGGUGCUCCCAUUGAAGCUCAGUGGGUUAAGAACAUGACAUAAUGUCCAAGAGGAUGCAGUUCCAUUCCUGACCUCACUCAGUGGGUUAAGGAUCCAGUAUUGCUGCAAGCCUGGGCAUAGGGCACAGAUGCAGCUCAGAUCCAGUGUUGCUGUGACUGUGGCUCAGGCCAGCAGCUGAAGCGCCAAUUCAACUGCUAGCCAUGUGCAACAGGUAUGGCCCUAAAAAGAAAAUUAGUAUUACAAAGUUGAGAUCCCCUUGAGGCAUCAAGAAAACGUGCCAACUGAGCAAAAGAUGUAUAAGCUUUGUCUUUAACUCAGAGGUCUGAGCUAGAGAUAAAAAUUUGGUUUUUUGUCAACAUAUAAACUAUAACUAAUACUAUAUGGGAAUGCCUAGGAAGAGCGUGUAGAGGUAGAAGAGAGAAUAUACACUCAAGCCUUGAGGUCAAUGUUAAGAAAAUUACUUAACCCUUUGAAACUUAAUUCUAUCAUCAGUAAAUGAAAAUAAUAUUACAUACUCUUAAAGUUGCAUAUGGAUUUUAAAAAUGCAAGGCAAAUCAUAAAAACUGAAUACAUGGUGGUUGUUAUUAUAAUCAUAUUAGUAUUUCUAAAGCGACAGAAAAAAUGCAAGUAGGAGGUUGAAAAACUGAGAAAAAAAUGCCUUUUGGAAAUCCAGUGGAAAGCUUCAAUAAGUAAGGGUAGUUAACCCUUUAAAAUGCAUAUCAGAGGCAAAUGAGAAUGGGCUCUGAGAGUGGCUACUAGAUUUGUAAGGCUAUUCCAGAGAACUUCUUUGCUAUGAUGGCAGAAAUCAAACAGAUAAAAAGGAAAGAAUUUGAGUAGUUUUAAAGGGCAGGGGGAAGUUCAAGUGAAGAGGAUUAUGUGUCUUAUCAAAGGUGAAAAGGUAAUUUAAAGGGGAGAUCAAAGAUGUUAAGUGAUGUACCUGAAGUCUAAUUUACUUUCUAUGAAAGUGAUCACUGAUAACAGAGCCAGAGGAUCUCCCCGAGGGAUAAACUUGAACUUAUUUCCUGAAAGGCACGUGGUCUUCAGCAUUGAUAGUGAAGACGGCUGCAGUGAGGCAGGGCUAGUUUGAGAAUGAAAAGCUAGUUCCAUGCAAGUUUGGGAAAGCAAUAGCUUCCAGGUGGUGGGAAGGUAAAAUAAGGCUCAUUAACCAUGAAGAUGAUGGUUAAGAAGAGAGCAGUUUGUGACUAGGAAGAUCUUGAAGGCUUGAGUACAGUGGAUGAGACUGACAAUUGAGAGAAGGUUAAACUGUAGUGAGAGAUGUGGCAAGUAAGGAAGGGAGCAAAUUUAGGGCCCCAAAAUCUUAUGUUGAGACUGUGCAAACUCCUCAGUGAGUGAGGUCGGCAGAAAUCAAUGAAAGCAGGAGAAACCGUGAGACAAUAUUUCUACACUGAUCAACCACCUUGGUUUUGACAAUUUCUGGAAGUAUAGUAGAAGUAGGGACAGAAGACUCUAGUUAUUCAGAUAAAAUUAGUCCAGAUGAAAGGUAUACUUAAUUAACAUAAUGCAUGUGAGAGCUUAAGGCAUGGUCGUAGGCAAGUAGAAGGCAGUUGUUAACUGUAAGCUUAGUGUAUGAUGAAUUAGAAGGAAAUAAUAGUUUUACUCAUUGAUGUGAAUUUCAAAUCACAUGAAGCUGAAGAAAGUCUUUGAUAGAGAGUUUUAAUUGUUUAUAUGCAACUGGAAGAAGCCAAAUGACUCUAUUCAAAGACUAUAUCCUCUUCUUGUUUUGUAUUCUCUAUAGUUUCAUAUUAAUGUUAGGUACAUGUCAAAGGAUGAGCCUAAUAUCAAUUAGUGGAUACAUGUAUGGACCAAUACCCUAUCUGUGGAUGAGGUCAAGUAUAAACUAGCCAAUCCCUGGUCAGAGACUAUAGAGGAAAUUUAAAUUUCAGCUGAAAGAAUGAACAAUGUGCCCUUUAUCCACUGAGUGGUACACUCUAAAAUUCUGAGAUAGGAAUUCCCAUCAUGGCUCAGUGGUUAAUGAACCCAACUAGGAUCCAUGAGGAUAUGGGUUCGAUCCCUGGCCUCGCUCAGUGGGUUGAGGAUCCAGCAUUGCCGUGAGCUGUGGUGUAGGUCGCAGAUACAGCUUGGAUCUCGUGCUGCUGUGGCCAUGGCAUAGGCCAGUGGCUACAGGUCCGACUAGACUCCUACCCUGGGAACCUCCAUAUGCCAUGGGUGCAGCCCUAAAAAG
rnacentral:lncRNA from 1 species